rnacentral:rRNA from 1 species
AAUAGAUACCCUGGUAGUCCACGCCGUAAACGAUGAGUGCUAAGUGUUAGAGGGUUUCCGCCCUUUAGUGCUGCAGCUAACGCAUUAAGCACUCCGCCUGGGGAGUACGGUCGCAAGACUGAAACUCGAAGGAAUUGACGGGGGCCCGCACAAGCGGUGGAGCAUGUGGUUUAAUUCGAAGCAACGCGAAGAACCUUACCAGGUCUUGACAUCCUCUGACAACUCUAGAGAUAGAGCGUUCCCCUUCGGGGGACAGAGUGACGGGUGGUGCAUGGUUGUCGUCAGCUCGUGUCGUGAGAUGUUGGGUUAAGUCCCGCAACGAGCGCAACCCUUGAUCUUAGUUGCCAGCAUUUAGUUGGGCACUCUAAGGUGACUGCCGGUGACAAACCGGAGGAAGGUGGGGAUGACGUCAAAUCAUCAUGCCCCUUAUGACCUGGGCUACACACGUGCUACAAUGGAUGGUACAAAGGGCUGCAAGACCGCGAGGUCAAGCCAAUCCCAUAAAACCAUUCUCAGUUCGGAUUGUAGG